rnacentral:rRNA from 1 species
GACGAACGCUGGCGGCGUGCUUAACACAUGCAAGUCGAACGGAAAGGCCCUGCUUGCAGGGUCCUCGAGUGGCGAACGGGUGAGUAACACGUGGGUGAUCUGCCCUGCACUUCGGGAUAAGCCUGGGAAACUGGGUCUAAUACCGGAUAGGAGCCAUUUUUAGUGUGAUGGUUGGAAAGUUUUUUCGGUGUAGGAUGAGCUCGCGGCCUAUCAGCUUGUUGGUGGGGUAAUGGCCUACCAAGGCGGCGACGGGUAGCCGGCCUGAGAGGGUGGACGGCCACAUUGGGACUGAGAUACGGCCCAGACUCCUACGGGAGGCAGCAGUGGGGAAUAUUGCACAAGGGGCGCAAGCCUGAUGCAGCGACGCCGCGUGGGGGAUGACGGCCUUCGGGUUGUAAACUCCUUUCGCUAGGGACGAAGCUUUUUGUGACGGUACCUAGAUAAGAAGAACCGGCUAACUACGUG